rnacentral:rRNA from 1 species
CCACAAUGGACGAAAGUCUGAUGGAGCAACGCCGCGUGAGUGAAGUAAGGGUUUCGGCUACGUAAAGCUCUGUUGGUAGUGAAAGAAAGAUAGAGGUAGUAACUGGCCUUUAUUUGACGGUAAUUACUUAGAAAGUCACGGCUAACUACGUGCC